GGGGAUCAACCAUGAAACUGUGGGUGUUGGAAAUAUGUUAUAAUACAUGACAUUUUUAUUGCAGGUUUUGACCUUUCAAUAGAGAGCUGAUUUUGGAGAAUGGCUUACUCCUGUGAUUGAAAAACUCUCUGGAAGGUUGAUGGAGCAUGAGCAUGAAAUACUUUGGAAAUGGAUCCUGUGCACAGACCACCUGAGUUUCUGCACAAAUGACUUGAAUAUUCUAUUGAGGACAAGAAACGCUUUGCUAUACGUUCUGGAGUUAGAAGAUUUAAACAGCAGUACUUGCAUGGCCUUCUUUCAUAAAAGGCUAUGCCAGCUUAGGGGAGCACAAAAUUUUACACAAGGCCUGUGACUGUUACAAGAGCAAGUCUUCUGAGAACUUCAUAAAGCUAAUUUUUUUUGAAAUCCAUUGCAUUCUGUUUGCUAUUCAUCAGUCCAACAGAAGCAUCAACAUUGCAGAACCAAGUAACAGUCUUCACUUUGGUUUGUCUUCCUGAGUGCAAACAAGGGGGGGUGCACCUCAUACAAAUUAAUACAUGAAUCAAGCAGUACAAGCACUAGUUGGAGUCUUAGAUUAAGUAAAAAGGAUUUAAACAGAAUUUGAUGCUGAGAGUCCUUAACUGCACUUCUAAAUUUCUAGGUAUUUUUAUACUUCUGAAUUUCUCAAUGGUUUUACUUCCUGGUUUUUAUUUUUAGCUGGCUUUGUUAUUUCAUGUUUAUCUUAUGCAGUAGUUUUCCAGCUAGUCUAAAUCUGUUUGUUCAUGAUCCUUGGAGAGAUGGCUGGACACAUGAUAUAGAUUCUCCAAAUUUAGUAGCAGUAAAUUUCAGUAAUCAGCAGUCAUCUGCUUUACUUUAGUUAUUAAUACUUCACAUUGCAAAAAGUGUAGUUCUUCCAGCCUUUUGCCAAGGUUGUAUGGGGAGUGUUGUUAACAUAAUCGGGAAAUAGUGAACACACAAUUUUUUUUUUUAAUGUCAGUGUUACCAAAACUCUUAAAUUAGUGCUGGGUAUCUGCUCAAAUAUUCAUCUUUUUAUUCAUAGAAUUAUUUAAAGCUUUUUUUUUUUUUACACAACUUUAUAAUAGUUUUAGAAAUAUUCAACUGCUUACUAGAAGGUAUGGGUGGACCUAUUAUACAUGGAGAGUGUGUGUAAGCUUUGUCCUGGAUUACUGCACCUCUUUGGGGGGAAAGGAGGCAGAUUUAUUGCCUAACUGUGUUAGUUAUUUAAUUUUUAAAAAACCAAACACAUGCAAUUAAAUUGCUAGUUUAGAGAUAUUUUUUUUAAUUAUUUAAUUUUAUUUUUUCUUUUUAGAACUUAGAAACUUUGGAACUUUUUAGAACUGCAGUCUUAAACAGCAAUUAAAAAUCUCACUGUUACUGCAGGAGAAGAGCAAUCAAGGUAUAUAGUUUAUUCUCCUAAUUCUUCUUCCUCUGACCAGAAAGUAACCUCAAUUAAGUUGAGUGAAUUAACUGAGUAUUGCAGGUUAUGCCUGAACCAAAUAAUAAUGGAAUAGUAGCCAAAAGUACACAAAUAGCUGUAAUGUUUGGAAAUAUUUCAGUGGAAUCUUUUCUUCUUUUUAAAAAUACAUGCAUAUCACUUUAAAGGCUGCUGACACCACAAAUUAGAUGGAAAGACAGUUCCUUAACAAAGAAGCAAGAAUGCAGGAAUAAUAUAAUAUACUUCUAAAUCUUAGAUUUGAGAAGGAACAAGAAUAAUAAAUUCUAGUAUGUUUGCA
rnacentral:lncRNA from 1 species